AUUGAACGCUGGCGGCAUGCCUAACACAUGCAAGUCGAGCGAGCGGCGGACGGGUGAGUAAUGUAUGGGGGUCUGCCCGCUAGCGGGGGGUAACUACUGGAAACUGUAGCUAAUACCGCAUACUAUCGUAUGAACCCUUUUGGGAUUAGCUGGUAGGUGGGGUAAAGGCUCACCUGGGCGACGAUCGCUAGCUGGUCUGAGAGGAUGAUCAGCCACACUGGGACGGAGCAAGGGCCCAGACUCCUACGGGAGGCAGCGGUGGGGAACAUUGCAAAAUGGGCGAAAGCCUGAUGCAGCCAUGCCGCGUGUAUGAAGAAGGCCUUAGGGUUGUAAAGUCCUUUCAGCGGGGAGGCGUUACCCGCAGAAGAAGCACCGGCUAACUCCGUGCCAGCAGCCGCGGUAAUAC
rnacentral:rRNA from 1 species